UACGGGGGGGGGGCAAGCGUUGUUCGGAAUUACUGGGCGUAAAGGGCUCGUAGGCGGCCAACUAAGUCAGACGUGAAAUCCCCAGGCUCAACCUGGGAACUGCGUCUGAUACUGGAUGGCUUGAAUCCGGGAGAGGGAUGCAGAAUUCCAGGUGUAGCGGUGAAAUGCGUAGAUAUCUGGAGGAAUACCGGUGGCGAAGGCGGCAUCCUGGACCGGUAUUGACGCUGAGGCGCGAAAGCUAGGGGAGCAAACGGG
rnacentral:rRNA from 1 species